GGAAGUAAACCAUCAUGGAUUGCCCCAGUAACGGCGAGUGAAGCGGCAUCAGCUCAAAUUUGAAAUCUGGGGCCCCCAGGCCUCCGAGUUGUAAUUUGGAGAGGCAUCUUCGGGGAGGGGGCGCGGGCCCAUGUUCCUUGGAACAGGACGUCGCAGAGGGUGAGAAUCCCGUGCCAGGCCGGCUGCCUCCGCCCCAGUGAAGGGCCUUCGACGAGUCGAGUUGUUUGGGAAUGCAGCUCCAAGUGGGUGGUAAAUUUCAUCUAAAGCUAAAUACCGGCGGGAGACCGAUAGCGCACAAGUAGAGUGAUCGAAAGAUGAAAAGCACUUUGAAAAUAGAGUCAAAAAGUACGUGAAAUUGUUGAAAGGGAAGCGCUUGAGACCAGACUCGGACCCGGGCAAACAUCGCGCCCCCCGGGGCCGUGCAAUUGCCUGGGGCCGGGCCAGCAUC
rnacentral:rRNA from 1 species